UACGUAGGGGGCUAGCGUUGUCCGGAAUCAUUGGGCGUAAAGAGCGUGUAGGCGGCUCGGUAAGUCCGCUGUGAAAGUCCAGGGCUCAACCCUGGAAUGCCAGUGGAAACUGUCGAGCUAGAGUCCGGAAGAGGCGAGUGGAAUUCCUGGUGUAGCGGUGAAAUGCGCAGAUAUCAGGAGGAACACCAAUGGCGAAGGCAGCUCGCUGGGACGGUACUGACGCUGAGGCGCGAGAGCGUGGGGAGCAAACGGG
rnacentral:rRNA from 1 species